rnacentral:ncRNA from 1 species
UUUCAUAGCAUCAUUUCAGGUGUCAGCAAAGUCUUUGCUGACAUAAUAGGGAAGUCCGGUGAAAUUCCGGCACGGUCGCGCCACUGUAAGGGGGAGCUUCUGAUCAGCCACUGCACUAUGCGGGAAGGGAUCAGAGGUGUUGAAACCAAGUCAGGAUACCUGCCUGUUAUGAAUACGCUAA